rnacentral:rRNA from 1 species
CUGGCGGCGUGCCUUAUACAUGCCAGUAGGACGCACAGUUUAUACCGUAGCUUGCUACACCAUAGACUGUGAGUUGCGAACGGGUGAGUAACGCGUAGGUAACCUGCCUAUUAGAGGGGGAUAACUAUUGGAAACGAUAGCUAAUACCGCAUAACAGUAUGUAACACAUGUUAGAUGCUUGAAAGAUGCAAUUGCAUCGCUAGUAGAUGGACCUGCGUUGUAUUAGCUAGUAGGUAGGGUAAAGGCCUACCUAGGCAACGAUACAUAGCCGACCUGAGAGGGUGAUCGGCCACACUGGGACUGAGACACGGCCCAGACUCCUACGGGAGGCAGCAGUAGGGAAUCUUCGGCAAUGGGGGGAACCCUGACCGAGCAACGCCGCGUGAGUGAAGAAGGUUUUCGGAUCGUAAAGCUCUGUUGUUAAGGAAGAACGAGUGUGAGAAUGGAAAGUUCAUACUGUGACGGUACUUAACCAGAAAGGGACGGCUAACUACGUGCCAGCAGCCGCGGUAAUACGUAGGUCCCGAGCGUUGUCCGGAUUUAUUGGGUUUAAAGGGAGUGUAGGCGGUCUGUUAAGCGUGUUGUGAAAUUUAGGUGCUCAACAUUUAACUUGCAGCGCGAACUGGCGGACUUGAGUGCACGCAACGUAUGCGGAAUUCAUGGUGUAGCGGUGAAAUGCUUAGAUAUCAUGACGAACUCCGAUUGCGAAGGCAGCGUACGGGAGUGUUACUGACGCUUAAGCUCGAAGGUGCGGGUAUCGAACAGGAUUAGAUACCCUGGUAGUCCGCACGGUAAACGAUGGAUGCCCGCUGUUAGCGCCUGGCGUUAGCGGC